ensembl:lncRNA
GCCACCAGCUACCUUGGAAUAUGGCUUUGAAGAGCAGAGAACACUUGUUGACCAACCUGUGAACCACCAAGAGAGAUGCUGGCACAGACACAUUGUCUUGGUUUUCUGAGCUCUGCUAAUGGAACAGUACAACCACCUGACAGCUCACCCUGGCACUCUGCAAGAAUUCAGUGUUCUCCUUGAUAAGGUCUGAAGGAAGAGCUUUAAAGAAAGUGUCAUAUUCAGACACUACUCCCCCCUCACACCCCAUCCCAAGAGCUCCAGCACCUCAUUAGAUGGUAAAUUUAACAGCAGGGAGGAAUAAUGGGCUUCUGAAGAUUGCCAAUGAGCAAAGAAUCUAUUUCUGAGCCCUGGUACUACCUGACAGCAUUUGAGGUCUGCAGUGAAGUGGGAGCUACCAACUCCUCGAGGCUGAGUGCAGAAAUGAGAGGUCCACGCUUUUCUGUAGAAAUUGAAAAGCUUUUUGCAAAAUAUCUGUUCAUUUCCGAUUUAACAGAGAUUAUUCUCAUCCCCAUCAUCUCCCUGCUGCUCCAAAAACUACUAAUAAAUAAACAAACAGAAGCUUUUGUCCCACUGGGAGUGCAGAAACCUUCUGUCCCAUCAGGAAUAAAAAGAGCUUCCUGCAGGAUUUUCAUGGUCCAGGCUGACUCUCCUGAAUCUCCUAUGGUGCCUCAGAGCUUUAAGUGCCGUUUGCAGAUCUUCACACCUGUGUUUAGUUUAUAGUGGAAGAAAUGUAUCUGUGUAGGUAAGGCAGCUUUUCCAUGACAACGGUGUGUACUUCUAUGUUUCGAAUAGCGGUUGUUCUUAAAAGCACAGAAAUAAGAGAAUACAGACAAGAAUGUUACAAAAAAAAUAGCAGCAGCAAGUAUAUAACAGUGCAGAACUGAGUAAUGCAUAGAGUAGCUGAGCUUGUUUAAGUGGGUAAUUGCGUUAGUAUUGACUCAGUGUAACUGUAUCUCAUUCCUAAACGAAUGCUUUGCAUGACUGGUUUCCUGUGAGUGUAAAUGCAUUGGAUUUUUUCUUCUGAUUGAAUUCCAUUAAAACAAAACAAAACAAAACUCACAACUGCCAAGAUGGAGGCGAUAGGAGCUAAUCUCUAAUAUUUUUACAAGUAGAAAUAUGCAUAGCAAUGAAUCCAAAUGUAAGCAGAGAUUAUUUCAACUGCUGGCGUACAAAAUCAUGUUUAUCACCAUUGGAAAAUGUCCCAAAUUAGAACUCCAAGCCAGAAGGCAUCAGGAAUGUAUGAUUUGAAAUGCCCUCAGUCCUGACUCUAGGUUUCCACACAAGUCUGGGUUCAAAACAGCCUUUCACACUCAUCCUGCCUUUGUGAUGCUGCUCCUGUGACUGAGGAGCACCUACUCACGCAAGUUAUGAGGCUGAAAGAGUAGGGGUUUAAAGAGCAUCUCCUCCUUUACUUCUCUCAGUGCUGCAAUGUAUGUUUGCACUAUAAGUAUAAAACCUUGGGGGAAAAUAAGUUGAUGAACUUUGUCUCUGGGAUAAUAUCAGAUGUUAUAUCCAUGAUUUAAUGUGAAGGAGGACCUUGGAAAUGAGCCCAGACAGAACUGCAGAAACUAGACGGAGUGCCCUUCAUUUAUUCUGAGAUCUGAAAGUCUGACAUCAAUAAAUUAAAGAGUUUUCAGUCUGGAAUUAAGCCU